CGGUGUUUAGGUACACCUCUUCAGGGACUACUCGAUUGAGGUGACAGAGGAGAGGUCACGUUUUAACCUGCUGCGUGGCGGGAUGACAGAGAAGCAAGCCGACCCACAAAAGCAUCAGCCGGGCCUUGAAGCAGAGGAAAUGGGAGCUGCCAUUUCUGCAAGGCACUGCGGCAUGCACGGGGAACAUGUGUGGAUACCGACAGCCCUCAACACCCACAAAGAAAGCAGAAUUAUGAUACCAGUAAACAGCUUGUGUUGCUUGGAGUCGCCAGUAUCUGCUGAAGGUAUUUGGUCAUUGUUCCCCAGAGCCGUUCCUCGCUCAGGUCAGACACACUGCUGCUCUGUCAUCAUCCCUCUUGUUCCUCUUCUUCUUCCGGACACACCACUGACACUUUCUAAUCUCCGCACACUACAUCUUCACAUGGCUCUUCCAGAUGUUGUGACUGUAGCAGCUUUAGCAUGUUCUUUUUCUUAUGUUGCUGUUGUUAUUUUAGUCUGUUUCUUUUAGAAGGAAAGUGUAUGUUAAUUGAUCUUAGUCCUCAUAUUUCUCUGAGGUGCUGCAACGUUGAUAAUUUGGAAAUCAUAUAUACAUUUUCACUGUGACAACAAAGGUCAAGGUCUGUGAUGGAGAAAUGCUGAAGUAUUGUCUAAUAUUUGUGUCAUAUCAACCACAAAAGGUUACCUAGAUGACAUUAAGCAGAGCUGACAUCUCUGAUUGGC